rnacentral:tRNA from 1 species
GGCGGUAUAGCUCAGCGGUAGAGCAGGGGAAUCAUAAUCCCUGGGUCCGAGGUUCGAUUCCUCGUGCCGCCACCU